AGAAUNUCAGCUUUGGGUGUUGAUGGUGGGGUGGAUAGCCUUCUUCUUGA
rnacentral:tRNA from 1 species